rnacentral:rRNA from 1 species
GAUGAACGCUGGCGGCGUGCCUAAUACAUGCAAGUCGAGCGAACGGACGAGAAGCUUGCUUCUCUGAUGUUAGCGGCGGACGGGUGAGUAACACGUGGAUAACCUACCUAUAAGACUGGGAUAACUUCGGGAAACCGGAGCUAAUACCGGAUAAUAUUUUGAACCGCAUGGUUCAAAAGUGAAAGACGGUCUUGCUGUCACUUAUAGAUGGAUCCGCGCUGCAUUAGCUAGUUGGUAAGGUAACGGCUUACCAAGGCAACGAUGCAUAGCCGACCUGAGAGGGUGAUCGGCCACACUGGAACUGAGACACGGUCCAGACUCCUACGGGAGGCAGCAGUAGGGAAUCUUCCGNCAUGGGCGAAAGCCUGACGGAGNCACGCCGCGUGAGUGAUGAAGGUCUUCGGAUCGUAAAACUCUGUUAUUAGGGAAGAACAUAUGUGUAAGUAACUGUGCACAUCUUGACGGUACCCUAUCAGAAAGCCACGGCUAACUACGUGCCAGCAGCCGCGGGUAUACGUAGGUGGGCAGCGUUAUCCGGAAUUAUGGGCGUAAAGCGCGCGUAGCCGUUUUUUAGUCUGAUGUGAAAGCCCACGGCUCAACCGUGGAGGGUCAUUGGAAACUGGAAAACUUGAGUGCAGAAGAGGAAAGUGGAAUUCCAUGUGUAGCGGUGAAAUGCGCAGAGAUAUGGAGGAACACCAGUGGCGAAGGCGACUUUCUGGUCUGUAACUGACGCUGAUGUGCGAAAGCGUGGGGAUCAAACAGGAUUAGAUACCCUGGUAGUCCACGCCGUAAACGAUGAGUGCUAAGUGUUAGGGGGUUUCCGCCCCUUAGUGCUGCAGCUAACGCAUUAAGCACUCCGCCUGGGGAGUACGACCGCAAGGUUGAAACUCAAAGGAAUUGACGGGGACCCGCACAAGCGGUGGAGCAUGUGGUUUAAUUCGAAGCAACGCGAAGAACCUUACCAAAUCUUGACAUCCUUUGACAACUCUAGAGAUAGAGCUUUCCCCUUCGGGGGACAAAGUGACAGGUGGUGCAUGGUUGUCGUCAGCUCGUGUCGUGAGAUGUUGGGUUAAGUCCCGCAACGAGCGCAACCCUUAAGCUUAGUUGCCAUCAUUAAGUUGGGCACUCUAAGUUGACUGCCGGUGACAAACCGGAGGAAGGUGGGGAUGACGUCAAAUCAUCAUGCCCCUUAUGAUUUGGGCUACACACGUGCUACAAUGGACAAUACAAAGGGCAGCGAAACCGUGAGGUCAAGCAAAUCCCAUAAAGUUGUUCUCAGUUCGGAUUGUAGUCUGCAACUCGACUACAUGAAGCUGGAAUCGCUAGUAAUCGUAGAUCAGCAUGCUACGGUGAAUACGUUCCCGGGUCU